rnacentral:rRNA from 1 species
GACGAAGGGGGCUAGCGUUGUUCGGAAUUACUGGGCGUAAAGCGCGUGUAGGCGGUUGUUCAAGUCGGGUGUGAAAGCCUUGAGCUCAACUCAAGAAAUGCACUCGGUACUGGAUGACUAGAGGACCGGAGAGGAUAGUGGAAUUCCCAGUGUAGUGGUGAAAUACGUAGAGAUUGGGAAGAACACCAGUGGCGAAGGCGGCUAUCUGGACCAGUACCGACGUUCAGGCACGAAAGCGUGGGGAGCAAACAGG